AGAGUUUGAUCCUGGCUCAGAACGUACGCUGGCGGCACGCCUAACACAUGCAAGUCGAACGAAGUAGCAAUACUUAGUGGCAAACGGGUGAGUAACAUGUGGGUAUCUGCCCUUCGGCCUGGAAUAACACGGGGAAACUUGUGCUAAUACCAGAUAAGUCUUUUAAGAGAAAGCUUUAUGCACCGAUGGAUGAGCCCGCACCUGAUUAGUUAGUUGGUGAGGUAAUAGCUCACCAAGACAAUGAUCNGUAGCUGAUUUGAGAGGAUGAUCAGCCACAUUGGGACUGAGACACGGCCCAAACUCCUACGGGAGGCAGCAGUGGGGAAUCUUGCACAAUGGGGGAAACCCUGAUGCAGCGAUGCCGCGUGAGUGAAGAAGGCCUUUGGGUUGUAAAGCUCUUUCGUCGGGGAAGAAAAUGACUGUACCCGAAUAAGAAGGUCCGGCUAACUUCGUGCCAGCAGCCGCGGUAAUACGAAGGGACCUAGCGUAGUUCGGAAUUACUGGGCUUAAAGAGUUCGUAGGUGGUUAAAAUAGUUGGUGGUGAAAUCCCAGAGCUUAACUCUGGAACUGCCAUCAAACUUUUUUAGCUAGAGUAUGA
rnacentral:rRNA from 1 species